rnacentral:sRNA from 1 species
GUCGUGAGAUGUUGGGUUAAGUCCCGCAACGAGCGCAACCCUUGUCCCUAGUUGCUACGCAAGGGCACUCUAGGGAGACUGCCGGUGACAAACCGGAGGAAGGUGGGGAUGACGUCAAGUCCUCAUGGCCCUUAUGGGUAGGGCUUCACACGUCAUACAAUGGCCGGUACAGAGGGUUGCCAACCCGCGAGGGGGAGCCAAUCCCGUGAAAGCCGGUCGUAGUCCGGAUUGCAGUCUGCAACUCGACUGCAUGAAGUCGGAAUCGCUAGUAAUCGCGGAUCAGCAUGCCGCGGUGAAUACGUUCCCGGGUCUUGUACACACCGCCCGUCACACCAUGGGAGUGGGGUGCACCAGAAGUAGGUAGGCUAACCGCAAGGGGGCCGCCUACCACGGUGCGCUUCAUGACUGGGGUGAAGUCGUAACAAGGUAGCCGUAUCGGAAGGUGCGGCUGGAUCACCUCCUUUCUCGGAAACAGGGAACAGAGGUCAGGCAUCAGGGAUCAGCAAUGACCCCCGAACCUGGCACUGAUUUCCCUCACCUCGCCGCAGUACCCACAACCUAUCGAUUGCGCCGCCCGCGGGCGGACAUCGUGCGAACACCGGGCCUGUAGCUCAGUUGGUUAGAGCGCCGUCUUGAUAAGGCGGGGGUCGAUGGUUCGAAUCCAUCCAGACCCACCAGUCAGGUGUCAGGAGUCCAUUGGCAGCAAGAACGCAGCAACGCGCUGCGGUGUUAGUGCCGAUUGAUUACUGUCAACUGAAUCGGGGCUGUAGCUCAGUUGGGAGAGCGCCUGCUUUGCAAGCAGGAGGCCGUCGGUUCGAUCCCGUCCAGCUCCACCAGUCAGGCGUCAGAGGUCAGGGGUCAGGAAGCAGAAAACACCUAUCGAUUGCGGCAGCACUCAGCGAUGCGUUUUAGCGAAACAGAAUGCAUCGCUGAGAGCUGUAAUGUUCUUUAACAAUUUGGAAGGCAAGGCGCAUCUGGGCUUGAUGAGAGUCUGGAUGCGUUAGGGUUGAGAUGUAUCUUGCCUGUCGCCUUUAAAAGGGGGUGGCAGGUGGCGCAAACACACUGUGAACGUGUGUCCUGCGGGGGUUAGAUGGUGGAAGGGGUUGUUGCUACUGACAACUGCCAACUGCCAACUGACGCCUGACCAGGGCCCAUGGUUAUGGAGUCAAGCGACUAAGUGCAUGUGGUGGAUGCCUUGGCGAUUACAGGCGAUGAAGGACGUGGCAGCCUGCGAAAAGCUGCGGAGAGCUGGCAAACGAGCAUUGAUCCGCAGAUGU